CCAAUCUAAAAUCCCCGAAGAUUGUCCAUCCUUCAUGCUCACCUGCACUGUCGUGCUCAUCCCUACACUAUUGCUGUUGGGACUCGUAUGUGAAUAAUAUGGUUAGGAUAGGGUGGCCUCAGAAUCAUCAUCUGUCUCAUUUUCUCUUUGAAUAAUAUGGAUUAAAAAAAAAAAACAAAUUUUCAAAAAUCGAUCAUGGAUUAAAAAAAAAAAUCACAAAUUUUCAAAAAAUUCUACCAUGGAUUACAAAAAAAAUUCCAUCAUGGAUUAAAAAAAAAAUCACAAAUUUUCAAAAAAUUCUAUCAUGGAUUAUAAAAACAAAUUCGAUCAUGGAUUAAAAAAAAAAUUCACAAAUUUUCAAAAAAUUCAAUCAUGGAUUACAAAAAAUUCGAUCAUGGAUUACAUAAAAUUCGAUCAUGGAUUACAAAAAAAGACAAACAAAAAAUUCAAUCGUGGAUUACAAAAAAAGAAAAAAACAAUUCGAUCAUGGAUUACAAAAAAUUCAAUCAUGGAUUACAAAAAACUCUAUCAUGGGUUACAAAAAAAACAAAAAACAAAAAAUUCGAUCAUGGAUUACAAAAAAAAAACAAACAUUUCGAUCAUGGAUUACAAAAAAAAACAAACAUUUCGAUCAUGUAUUACAGAACAUUCGAUCAUGGAUUACAAAAAAUUCUAUCAUGGGUUACAAAACAAAAACAAAAAAACAAAAAAUUCGAUCAUGGAUUACAAGAAAUUCUAUCAUGGGUUACAAAAAAAAAAAAAAAACAAAAAAUUCAAUCAUGGAUUAAAAAAAAAAAAAAACAAAUUCGAUCAUGGAUUACAAAAAAAUCGAUCAAGUAUUACAAAAAAAUCUAUCAUGGAUUACAAGCAAAAAAAAAAAAAAUUCCGUACAAGACUCGCCGAUUCACUGUAUGGACUCGCCGAUUCCGUACAGUGAAUCACUCGAGUCACUGUACAAAAUCGUCCGGUUCUCUCUAGAACCGGACGAUUCCCUUUUUUUUCGUCGAUUCGAUCCGUCCAUUGCGAUUCCCGAGUCGAACCGGGUUCGACUCGGCGUUUUUUUAAACACUGAUUUAUACACAUUGUUCCAAAAAACGGCCCAUCUUUGCACCAACUCCAGCGGCCAAAAUAGCGUUGGAGUAGAUUGAGGGUAGGUAUUUAACAAAACAUUUGUUAUAUUUAUUUUCUUAACUCUAAAAUAGUAUUGGUGUAGAUUGAGGGGUAAGUGUUUAACGAAAAUUUUGUUAUAGAAAAGAGAGUAAUAAGCCCAAGUUACUCAUACGUGAAUCUUUUACAAAAGAGAAACUUAAGAAAGAAGGGAAGAACGCUUCAAAAAAUUCCAAAUCAACAAAACGAUUCCAAAUCAGCAAACAUUAUACUCUGCAUAUUCUCAUCUCAACCACUUAACUUAUACUAAGAAAAAAAAUAUGGAGAGAGCCCCACUUUCAAGAAAAUCUAAAGCCCCACUUUAAAGAAAACCUAUGUAAUGUCUAUAAGUAUGGAUAAGCUCAUAUUCGAGGCUGAUGGUCUGGAUUCGACUCUCCAGUUUCAUUUUACUAUCAUGUGGGCUUAGUUCUAACAGAUGAUUUUACUAUCGUGUUGGCUUAGUUCUACUAGAUGUUAUGAAAGUUGCCUAGGCGGUGGAUAUAAGUGAUUUUACUAUGUAACCUAAGUUCCAUGGGACAAUAUCAACAUUAUGUACAUGGACAAAUUAGGCGUAUGCCCAUACCCAGGCUGGCCGCCAAAAUAGAUGGUAAUAGCCAAAAUAGGCGUAUGGCUACUAUGCCCAGACCUACGACGCCAAAAUAGGCGCACUAGUACUAGUUCCUGGGCAGCCGUCUAGGCGGCUGCCUCGGCGCCAGGGGCACUGGGUGCCGCCUAGGCGACUGGGUGACACCCACUCCUCCUCCGGCCGGGGGCCGAAAUGUCAUGCGCCUACCCCUUAUUUUUAGAUUUUUUUUAAAAAAAACAAAAUAGAUUUUUUUUAAAAAAAACAAAAGUUUAAUAGAGAUUUUAGUUUGAUUUAAAACCUAAACCCAUUAGAGCCUAUUUUAGUUAUAGAAAAACCUGAUUUUUGUGACUUUCAUAGGGUUUCUCAAACUAAAUUGGAAUGGUUAACUAGAUAUGGGGCUAGAACCGGCUCAACUAGCCUAACUAGUAAAUCGGCCGAUUCAAUUGACUUGACCGGGCAAGUCCCGAGCGGUAAAAAAAGUGUUAAAAAAUAAAAAAAACUUAUAAUAAAAUAUGAAAAAUAUAUUUAAAGCAUGGUUGAAAAAAGAACAUCCAAAUGAAGUUGAAAAUGAAUGGAAAAUGGAUUUCAAAGAAUCGAUUUGUGCCUAGGGGUAUUUUUGAAAUAUUUUAAAACAGAUGAAAAAAAAUGUGAAAAUGAGUAUUAAUUGCUAAAAUAAUUUUCAAUCUUUUCCAAACUGAUGAAAACAAUGAAAAAAAUGUAUUACAAGUAAAAUAUCUUCUUUUUUGGGAUUUUAUAUAAAUGUUUUGAAUUUUUAAAAUACCUUACCAGUUCACUAAAACCAAAACCCGUUAGAAGCUGUCAGAGUGGAGAUUAAGGGGAAUGUUGCCCAUCGUAAAAAUGUUAUUGAAGCUUUCAGAGAGGAGAUUAAAUAAUAUAUGAGUUCCGUAAGACACAAACAAGAACAAAAUCAUUGUCAUUUAGAUAUGUUUAUUUUUUGUUCUACUAGAAGAGGAGAUCCAAGUUAGAAGUAUGAUUAUAACCCGAAACCAAACGAUAAAAAUUGUAUAAGAUGUAAGUUUUAUAAAAAAGAUACUAAUGGGCAAUUAACCGAUUCAAGAAACAUCUAAUUGGUAAGGAAUGUUACUUCUUGUAAAAAGGUUCCUAGAUCUAUUAGGGAUGAGAUUAGACAAUAGUUGAAAUUAGUAAAACUAUAAAAUAAAGAAAAUGGAACUCGUUAUAUGGAAAUAUCUUCUCCAUAUUCUUUUAGAAGUGGUGAUCCAGGUUAGAAAUUUGGUUAUCUAAUCCGAAUAACAAAAAUUGUAUCAGGUAUAAUUAUUGUGGAAUGAUACUAAUUAUGGUAUUUACCCGUUCAAGAAACACCUUGUCGGUGUUAAAAGGGAUGUUAUCCUGUGUAAAAAUAUUCUUGUGGCUAGUAGGGAGGAGAUUAAACAAUAUUUGAGUUAAAAAAACACAAAAAUCAAGAAAAGUGUGAAGAAACACUAGGUAGAGCAGCUAUGAAUCUUAGAGCCUCAUUUGCACAGUGUAAAAAGGGGUAGAAGAUGAGGAGGAAAAGGUAGAUUCAAAAGAAACAAAGGAGGACGGAUGUCAUGUUGAAGAGGGAAAUGACUCUGAUGAUGAUAGCCUCAGAUCCAAUGUAUAUGAUGAAGCUUACUCUACUCUUUAUGAUGAUGAUGACUAAAGAUGCUUGAUUUUUGGUGUUGAGUCUUAAACUGUAUAUUUUCUGCUAUCUACUCUUGUGCGUAUGCUUGUACGGUAGUAUUAUUGUAUGGAAAUAUAGAUUAUAGAUUAUUUACUCUCUGCAAUUUUUGCAAUUUUUCUUUUCUGCUCUUAUUUUUCUUUUAUGGUUUUAAGGCGCUGGGCUGCCAUCAUUUUUUGGAACAAUAGUUAGAGAUAGAAAUUCGUGCUAUUCGCUUAUGACACAAACAAUCACGAAUUAGGUGAAGUUGUUUAUGGUGAAAGCAGAUUGAUUGUAUUUUAUCAACCGACCCUAUUCACAUACGGGUGGUGAUGUUAACGAAAAAUACAUGUGCGAUAGUAUAUGAAGUAGGGUUCUUUUCAUCAAGUACACUAAUCUGUCUUUGUGAUUGAAUAUGCAGGAGAUGGUAAUCUUUUGCAUUUGUCAUUGAAUAUAUACGAGUGUUCGGUCUGUAUCGUGCCAAGUAUUUUCAAACUCUCUUCAACUUCCUUUUUGGGCUACUUCUAUAAUGGAUAAGCAAGCGACUAUUGACCUCACUCUACGUGCUAUUAGAACCUUGCAAUCUUGGCCAGUUUUUGUACAUGCAUCAAAGAAAGUUUGUAAAAGAUAUGUAACAUUAAAUUUCGUUCUUUUGUUAAUUUAACUGCAAGUCAACAUUCCAUUGGUUCAGUUUUUAUAUUUCAAAUGUUGGAUUCUUUCAAAAAAACUUUUUUUUUGACAUGUGUUUGUUAUUUGUACUCGUUGAUUCCUAGUUAUAAAGCAAACUUGACUCUUUUCAAUUUUUACAAGAUGUUACAUGUGCACUGUAUGGUACAGAUACAAUAUUUCCCGUCUUGCUCCCUUUCAUUUCAAAAGAGAAAGUUUGAACUAUUAUGUAUGUAGUGUUUUCGUAAUCAUGACAUUACCAGUCCCUCAACCUAUACAAAAAUAGAAUUUCAGCAUAAACAUUUCAAAAUUGGUGGUAGCAAAUAAUAGCACUGUGUGCUGUCUAAUACAACCGCGUAACGGGUAUUUUAUUUGAGUAAAACAUAUAAUACAAGCAUAUAACCCAAAAUAUAGCUAUAAUUGCCAUGUGUGUAUUUAUGAAAAUGAUAAUGAUUUUGGAUUAGUGUCUUUUUUUUAAAAAAAAAAUUAAUAUAUAUAUAUAUAUAUAUAUAUUGAAAAAGUCGUAAAAUCGCGUAUAGGUGAAUUUGAAUAGUGUUUGGCCCGGCAACGAGCAUGUCCGUUGCAGUUUAUACUGAAAAUGUGCAAUAGUUCUACGACAGUCGUGGCGGAAUCCUAUGUUUUUCUGCAUGAAAAAUCCCUACAAUGGACAUGCUAUAUUUGUUGUGGUACCGCAACGGACAUGUGUUAGUGGUGGUCUUGUAAUCCUUGCCGUUCAAAAAAAUAGGAUGACGUCGAGCUUAUGGGUGAAAGGCUAGGUGGUCAGGACGGCAGAGUGCGACAAUGUGACUUCUAGUUCCAUUCUUACCACAUGUAUGAGACUCCUUCCUCACAAAACUACCCUAAGAACCAAAAAAAAAAGUUCUCGCAUAAAAGCUAUGUUCUGCAUUACGUUUUUCAGGGAUGAAUUGAAUUUGCUUCAUAUUGGAUUUCUUAGUUUUGGUUCUUUGCUUUCUGUUAUUCAGGGAUGAAUUGAAUUUGCAUCGUAUUGGAUUUUUUCGUUUUUGUUCUUUGCUUUCUACCCAUGUAAUUGCUGGAAGGUAAAUCUUCAUAUCUUAAGAGUUCAAUGUUUAUAGCACUGUAGGAAAAAUCGAUCCGAAACAGUUAAUUGGACAUGGGAUUGAAGCGGUUACUUGAUAUUAACCGGUAAAUCUGCCGGUUCAAUCGGCCAAACUGGGCAAGUCUCGAGCAGUCAAAAAAAUAUUUUUUUAAAAAAAAUCUAAUAAAAUAUAAAAAGUAUAUUUAAAACAUGACUAAACCAAGCACAUCUAAAUGACGUUGAAAAUUAAUGAAAAAAAUGGAUUUUAAAGUAACAUUUUGUGUUUAAGGGUAUUUUUAAAAAUUUUCAAACAAUAGAAAAAUGUAAAAAGAAGUAUAAAUGGCCAAAACAAUAUUAAAAAUUUCAUUACAAAGAAAAUCCCUGAUUUUUUGGCAUAUUAUAUAUAUUUGUUUUAAAUUAUUUUUUUUAAAAUACUUGGCCGGUUCACCAAAACUGGCUGAAGCCCAGUUCUCAUAUAAUUGGUCGAGAUAUAAUUUAAACUGCCUGAUUUAUCCUACACUAGUUUACUGGCUUAAUAUGGUAAGUGAGCAUGGUGAAUGUAAGCAUUUCCAUGACACAUUUACUUAUGGGAUUGUCUGCAAAGAGACUAAUCUUUAAGUAGUGUGCUGUGGGUUUUAGAUUUUUACGAGGAGGGGAAGGGGAGGAAAUCGUUGGUAGAGAGAGUUUCGGAUGGGUCUGUGAUGUUUUGGGUUAGGUCAGACAAGAAUGAGAGGGGAGAGAGAGAGGGUCACGGGUAAGAAAUGAGACAGUAAAAGGGGAAGAGAGAGAGCGAGAGGGGAUAGAGGUCAGUCAAUUUGUAGAGAGGACAAUGUGUUAGACUAAGUUUUUGAGUUAUAGUUUUACCUGGACCAAAGGUUUUUUUUUUAUCAUCAUUAUUUUAAUCUUUUUUUCAAUUGCUUGAGGUUAGUUAAUAACAAAAAAAAUGAUUCAUGUACAAAAAUAUGAAUACGUUAGUGGCUAAAAUUUGUUGAGUAUAAUUAUAAAAUGUUUUAAUUCUUGGAAAAAUUGCAUAAAAUCCCUAAAAAUGAAUUUUUUAUGCAAUUUACGCCAACCUAACUUUUCUUAACAACUUUUUCCCCAAGAUCAAGCUUACUAGUAAUUAUCCCUAACUCAAAAAAAAAAAAAACUAAAAUACCCUACUCUUACCUCACACAUUAACCAUGGCGGUCCGGCAUGUCACCAUGGCGGUCUGGCAUGUCACCAUGGCGGUCCGGUGUUUAGAAGAGUUGGUCCGGCGCUUAAGUCACUGAUUUGGAAUGAUCCGGCACUUCACCAUGACGGUUUGGCACUUCAUCAUGGUGGUCUGAAGUUUGGAAGAGGCGGUCCGGCAUUUGUUUCUAGAUUAAUGAGCGAUCCGGCAUUUGUGAGCUACAGUCUGACAAAAUUGAAAAUUGUGUCGGGAAUACGCGGCCCGGCAAGUGUACAAUUCUGGUCCGGCAUAAUGGAUAGGUUCAACAAUAUGCAACCACGGUCCUGUUUUUCCUUUUAUUGGGAUACAAAAAUAAUUUAUUAUAAGUACUUUUGUCAAAAAAAAUGAACUUUUUGUAUUUGAGGUAUUUGCUAUAGAACUUGAUUUUUUGAAAAAAAUAUGCUAAAAAAAUUAGGGUGAGUAAAGUACCUAAAAAGUCUAUUUUUGGGGGUCUUCAAGAUCCCUAUUUAUUGUUUUUGUCUUUUACAAUUGUUUUUUUAUUCUUUGGGGGUAGUUUAGUAUGCAUGAAAGUUUGGCAGGAAAGUAUUUAAAUAUACAAAUAAUUUAUAGGAAUAUUAGUCAAACAUACAUUUUCCUAUGUUUGGUAAACAUAUUUGAAAACUGAGUGAGAUCAUGAAAUUUUGAUAUAGUUUUUCUUUUAAAAAAUUUUGAAAUAGCUUAUCUCUCUAAAAAUUAAAUUUGACAUAGUUUUUUUCUAAAAAAUUUUAGAUAGUUCCUUUCUCUAAAACAUAAUUUUUUAAAUAGUUUCGCUAUCUAAAAAUUUUGAGAGCUUCAAGCUUCUCUCUCUUUCUAAAUCGUUUUAGGCCAUGGUUAUUUGUUUUUCUUUUUCUUUUGGUAGUCUAAAUUAUUGAUAGUUUCUUAUGUUCAAAAAAGCUAUUGAUAAUUUCUUUAUCUAUGUUCACAAUGGUUUUAUCUUGGUUUUCGUUGGUUUAUAUUAAAACCUUUGUUUCUUUGGGUCUAUAUAAUGGUAUUAGAGACGUUUGCUAUAAGUAGAUAGUACUAUUAAUAUUAAGAAAAAGUUUAUAUAAGGUUGCAACCUUAAAAUGUAGAACUAUAUAUGCUCCUAAAAAUUCCGUCGGAAAAGAUUGUUUUAAUGUUAAAGAACCCUCUAAUUGAUCAUCUCGACAUCGAGGUGUAUGAUUAUGAAAAAAAAAAAUAUUUUGAGUCCCAUAAAUAGUGCAUCUUACAACACAUUAUCUAGACCGCCUAUUUUCAAGAUUUUCAUCUGUUUAUAGAUUUCCUUGAUUUCAACUAUUUUUGCAGUUUAAAAUUUGAUAAUUUGAUAUGAAAAUAGAUUUUGAGAUAAUCCUAAGAAUAUUUUACAUCAAAAUUAUAUAUUAUGAUAAACUUUGAUGGUGAGCCUUAAUUGGAUUGUUUAAAGUAAACUACACCUUUAAUAUUACAGUUAUCUUUGUAUAGUGGUAUUGGAAACGAUUACCACUCAUUUUUGUAUAUUCAUAAGCCGAUAAUAUUAUUACUAUUACAUAAUUACAAGAGAGAUAGUUACAAAGGUUGAUUAUCUUUAUGGGAAGCGGAUAAUAUUAUUACUAUUACAUAAUUACAAGAGAGAUAGUUACAAAGGUCAUAAUGAUAAACAAGAUGGCACAUAUUAGUCACAAUAAUGUUUAAACAUAAUUCAUGUUUAAUCUCAAUUUCACUUUUUUAAGACAUUAAAUUAAGCAUUGAAAAGUUGCUAAAUAUAUAACUUAUAUUGCUAGAAUCAUCUAAAAAAGACAUAUUAAAUACUUACCCCUAGCUCGGUCUACUCUAAUGCCUUAAAGCUUUAAUAUUUCAAACAUAUGACAUAUAUGACAUAUAUUUAAAAUACUAGUGCAUGAUAAUGUGGAGCUUUAUACACAACAAUCAAAAUGAGAAUCAUGUUGAUAGUAGUGGGAUAAGCAUGUUGAAA
rnacentral:lncRNA from 1 species